rnacentral:rRNA from 1 species
GACGAACGCUGGCGGCGUGCUUAACACAUGCAAGUCGAACGGAAAGGCCCUGCUUUUGUGGGGUGCUCGAGUGGCGAACGGGUGAGUAACACGUGAGUAACCUGCCCUUGACUUUUGGAUAACUUCAGGAAACUGGGGCUAAUACCGGAUAGGAGCGCCUGCUGCAUGGUGGGGGUUGGAAAGUUUCGGUGGUUGGGGAUGGACUCGCGGCUUAUCAGCUUGUUGGUGGGGUAGUGGCUUACCAAGGCUUUGACGGGUAGCCGGCCUGAGAGGGUGACCGGCCACAUUGGGCCUGAGAUACGGCCCAGACUCCUACGGGAGGCAGCAGUGGGGAAUAUUGCACAAUGGGCGGAGGCCGGAUGCAGCAACGCCGCGUGCGGGAUGACGGCCUUCGGGUUGUAACCCGCUUUAGCAUGUGACGAAGCGUGAGUGACGGUAAUGGGUAAAGAAGCACCGGCUAACUACGUG